rnacentral:lncRNA from 1 species
AUGGACAACAUGCAUUCAUCUUAUCAAAUACUGUUACUAGAUCAUCAAGGAACACGUUUUUUUCGUAACAUAACAUACCACCCCAAGAGGGUGAGAGGAGUUUAUAUAUAUAUAUAUAUCUUGUUGGAGGUUGGAGUGUAUGUGGGACUGGACAAUAGUCUGCUCCCAGGGCUUUCUCUUCUUUCUUGGCCAGAAGAACAAUGUUUGUUUUCACCCAUCUUCUCUAAGAGCUGAGAUUAGAUUGCACAGUGAAGAAUGAUCUAGCUCUGCACUCACGUCUCCUUCUCUUUUUUUCUGACACACUUUUCCUCCAAGUAAAUUGGGCUGUGUUUGCCUCACUCUCUACACCAGCAAAACAACAUCUCCCCUGGAGCUAUAGGAUCUCAAUUCCUUCUCUCCCCUGAUGUUGCGCUCUCACUUUCAGUGUUUCUGCUCCGACGUGGCUGCCUCGCUUAUUUCCCAGGCUUUAGGGGAAUAUUAGCACCUCUGUGAGGAAGAUUUUCAUAUUCUCUUCCACCUCUUUUGUUCUACAUCUGACAUUUACACGAUUACCGCCAGUUUGAAACCUUGUUCUGGUAAACCUUGACAUGUGCAGCACAGAGUUUAACUUAAGCGGAACAAACACACUCUUCACAGCCUUUAAACGUAGACCCAUUUGGAAUUAGAUGCCAGCAAUGUUUAAUGUUAGUUAAAUCUUUAAAGCUGCUACCCCUGAUAACUUCCAUUGGAUAAAAACAUAGUAUAUGCAUCAAUGAAUCAAACACUAUUUAAUUAGAAAUUAAAAAGGUCAAAAUUGCUGCUUGAAAGUUUUUUACCUCCAUGAAGUCUGACCAGAAAGGCAAUUCUGGGUUAAAUUUGCUGAUCUAAAUGCCUCACAUGCACAUUUACUAACACAAUAUGUACCACUUUAGUCUUUUUCUCCUGUAAGGGACAGCACGUGUGAGUGAGUUCUGUAGUGUAGCUGGGUAAGAACGCACUCAGCGAUCCAUCUAACUGUGUUUUUCAUGUUGUUCUGAGAAGUAGUGAAAGCAGCAACUCAUAAAACAAGUAUUUUAGAAUGAAAUAAGUUAUUAAAAAAAAUACAUAUAUAGAGGAAAUAUUAUAAUUUUUCAUAUCCCCAAAAAAGAAAACUCAAUAUGUCUUGAAUCUCGAAAUAUCACAUAGCUCUAGUUGCUAGCAUCAUUUAUUUUGAAUGCAUUUUUAAAUAAAGCAACAUUCUGUCUUGAAUUCA